UAUGCCCUAGGGCUAGUGGAAGACUUAAGAUGGCGGCGUUUGCACGGAGUGCAAUCACUGCGUCCUUACGGGGGUUGCAAGGCGUCCGAAGUAUGAGUCCACUAACAAAAGUCCAGAAACUCGCCAGUUAAUAGUAUUGUGUCUCUUCAAAAUAUCGGAGAAUAAUUUCUUUCUCGCUGAUCGCCUAACUUCUACUGACGAAGCUUGGAAGUUGCAGAAGCCAGACAUGAUGUAUUGAGUAAAAGGAACUUCGGUACACAGGCCUUUAGUGAUGUGGUGGUAAGAUGUAUGGUACUGGCUCCUGUAUCACCCAGCUCUGGAGUUGAAAGAGCUCUUCAUUCCUGAGUCUCCUGUACCACUGAGAAUAGGCUGGAGUGCAGUGGCGCAAUCUCGGCUCUCUGCAACCUUCACCUCCCGUGUUCAAGUGAUUCUCCUGCCUCAGCCUCCUGAAUACCUGAGAUUACAAGCAUGCACCACCACGCCCGUCUAAUUUUGUAUUUUCACUAGAGACGGGGUUUCUCCAUGUUGGUCAGGCUGGUCUCGAACUCCCGACCUCAGGUGAUCCGCCCGCCUCAGCCUCCCAAAGUGCUGGGAUUACAGGCAUGAGCCACCGCGUCCAGCAAGAAUAGGUGAUUUUCAAACUUGGAAACAUUCAGAAGUUAUCGCCUCAGUUUCAGAUUGAGUAGUCUCAAAGAGAUUACAGACAUCUACCACAAAUUCUCUACUUGGUGUGGUGCAAAAUCAGUAUGAUGUAAACUUUGUCUCUCAGUUUCUUCAAAGGAAAGAAGCAACUGGAACACACAUAUAACACUAACCCUUCCAGCUGCAUUAUGAGGGACCAGUACCUGUCUCAAGGCAAAAUUAUGACUUAGUUCAUCCUCACCUCUGGAGGCCAGUAAAAGUGGGUUAUAGAAGAACAAAGAGGCAUCUAGAUCUUUCACUGGGUUAUUUGGAGAGAAACAUCUCCUACCGAAGGCCAGUUUAACAAGACUGGUAGAGGAGGUUAUCUUAUCUAAUUCACAGAAAUCAACACAUUGAGUCAAGAAAAAUGAAACACAGAAACACUCUAAAUAAAAGAAGAUAAGUCUUCAGAAACCAACCCUAAUGAAAUGAAGAUAUGUGAUUAACCUGACAGGAAAUUAAAAAGAGCAACCAUAAAGAGUCUCAUGGGAGCAAUGCAUGAACAAACUGAGAAUUUUCAUAAAGAAAUAAAAGAUAACAAAAAGUAUAAAGUUGAAGAAUACAAUAACUGGACUCAAAAAUUUAAUGUGUCCAACAGAAGAAUCGAUGAAGCAGAAGAAAGGGCUAUCAAACUUGUAGAUAGGCCAUUGGAAAUCAUGUAAUGUGAGGAGAAAAAAGAAAAAAGAUUGAAGAUAGUUUAAGAGACUUUUGAGACAUCCUCAAAGGGGAAUAAUUUAUACAUUACCAGAUGGAGAAGAUAGAGGGAAAAGGACAGAAAACAUAUUUGAAGAAAUAAUGUCAGAAAACCUCAUAAUUCUGGCAAGGAAAUAGAAAUUUAGAUCUAAGAAUCUCGAACAUCAGGUAUGAUGAAUCCAAGGAGACUCACACCAAACCAUAUUGUAAUUAAAUAAAGGUUAAAGACAAUCUUCAGAGCAGCAAGGGAAUAGUCUCUUCUUACAUACAAAAUGAUCCACGGAAGACUGUCAGCAGACUUCACCAGAAAACUUUCACGCCAGAAGGCAGUCGUGAUAUAUACAAAAAGCUGAAAGGAAAACACUGCCAUCCAGGAAUACUAUCUCCAACUAUCCUGUGUUUCAAAAAUUAAGGAGAAAUAUAAAGUUCUCAAACAAAAGAUGUGGGAGUUUACCACCACUAGACCUGCACGGGAAGAAUUGCUAAAGGGAGUCCUUCAAGCUGUAGUAAAAGAGUGCUAAUUAGAAACAUGAAAA
rnacentral:lncRNA from 1 species